UACGAAGGGGGCUAGCGUUGCUCGGAAUCACUGGGCGUAAAGCGCACGUAGGCGGACUCUUAAGUCGGUGGUGAAAUCCUGGAGCUCAACUCCAGAACUGCCUUCGAUACUGGGAGUCUCGAGUCCGGGAGAGGUGAGUGGAACUGCGAGUGUAGAGGUGAAAUUCGUAGAUAUUCGCAAGAACACCAGUGGCGAAGGCGGCUCACUGGCCCGGUACUGACGCUGAG
rnacentral:rRNA from 1 species